rnacentral:rRNA from 1 species
CCUACGGGGGGCAGCAGUAGGGAAUUUUCGGCAAUGGGGGAAACCCUGACCGAGCAACGCCGCGUGAGCGAAGAAGGCCUUCGGGUCGUAAAGCUCUGUUGUAAAGGAAGAACGGCGCAUACAGGAAAUGGUAUGCGAGUGACGGUACUUUACCAGAAAGCCACGGCUAACUACGUGCCAGCAGCCGCGGUAAUACGUAGGUGGCGAGCGUUAUCCGGAAUCAUUGGGCGUAAAGAGGGAGCAGGCGGCCGCAAGGGUCUGUGGUGAAAGACCGAAGCUAAACUUCGGUAAGCCAUGGAAACCGGGCGGCUAGAGUGCGGAAGAGGAUCGUGGAAUUCCAUGUGUAGCGGUGAAAUGCGUAGAUAUAUGGAGGAACACCAGUGGCGAAGGCGACGGUCUGGGCCGCAACUGACGCUCAUUCCCGAAAGCGUGGGGAGCAAAUAGGAUUAGAUACCCCGGUAGUC